rnacentral:rRNA from 1 species
GACGAACGCUGGCGGCGUGCCUAAUACAUGCAAGUUGAGCGCUGAAGGUUGGUACUUGUACCAACUGGAUGAGCAGCGAACGGGUGAGUAACGCGUGGGUAAUCUGCCUUUGAGCGGGGGACAACAUUUGGAAACGAAUGCUAAUACCGCAUAAAAACUUUAAACACAAGUUUUAAGUGUGAAAGAUGCAAUUGCAUCACUCAAAGAUGAUCCCGCGUUGUAUUAGCUAGUUGGUGAGGUAAAGGCUCCCCAAGGCGAAGAUACAUAGCCGAACUGGAAGGGUGAUCGGCCCACUUGGGACUGAGAAACCGCCCAAAACCCUGACGGAGGCAGCAGUAGGGAAUCUUCCGCAAUGGAGGAAAGUCUGACCGAGGCACGCCGGGUGAGUGAAGAAGGUUUUCGGAUCGUAAAACUCUGUUGGUAGAGAAGAAAGUUGGUGAGAGUGAACAGCUCAUCAAGUGACGGUAACUAAACAGAAAGCGACGGCUAACUACGUG